rnacentral:rRNA from 1 species
CCUACGGGCGGCAGCAGUGGGGAAUAUUGCACAAUGGGGGAAACCCUGAUGCAGCGACGCCGCGUGAAGGAUGAAGUAUUUCGGUAUGUACACUUCUAUCAGCAGGGAAGAAAAUGACGGUACCUGACUAAGAAGCCCAGGCUAACUACGUGCCAGCAGCCGCGGUAAUACGUAGGGGGCAAGCGUUAUCCGGAUUUACUGGGUGUAAAGGGAGCGUAGACGGUAUGGCAAGUCUGAGGUGAAAACCCGGGGCUAAACCCCGGGACUGCAUUUGAAACUGCCGAACUAGAGUGUCGGAGAGGCAAGUGGAAUGCCUAGUGUAGCGGUGAAAUGCGUAGAUAUCAGGAGGAACACCAGUGGCGAAGGCGGCUUGCUGGACGAUGACUGACGUUGAGGCUCGAAAGCGUGGGGAGCAAACAGGAUUAGAUACCCGGGUAGUC